AUGGCUCGGCGUGCCCCUACUCCUGCCAUCAGCAUCUCAGCCUCUCUCGGUGUCUCCCCACCCCUGCCAUCGGGGCCUCAGCCUCUCUCAGCGUGCCCCAUUCCCGCCAUCAGCGCCUCAGGCCUCUCAGCCUCCCUCCCUCCUGCCCUCAGCCUCUGUGAGUGUCCCCCCCACCCCGCCAUGAGGGCCUCAACCUCUCUUAGCGUCCCUCACUCCCACCAUCAGCCCUUCAGCCUCCCCUCAACCCCCGCCAGUAGCGCCUCAGCGUUCCUCCCAGCUCUGGCCAUCAGGGCCUCGGCCUCUCUUAGCGUCCCUCACCCCCGCUAUCAGCCCUUCAGCCCUCUCAGCCUCCCCUCAACCCCUGCCAUCAGGGCCUCAGCCUCUCUCCCUCCCUCCCUCCCAGCGCCCCCCGUCCUCAGCGUCCCCCCAACCCUUGUCAUCAGGGCCUCAGCUCUCAGCCUCCCUCCCUCAGGGCCUCGGCCUCUCUCCCUCCCUCCAUCAGGGCCUCGGCCUCUCUCUCUCCCUCCCUCCAUCAGGGCCUCAGCCUCCUUCCCUCUCAGCGCUCCCCUCAUCCCCGCCCUCAGCGUCCCCCCAACUCUCGUCAUCAACGCCUCAUCCCUCUCAGCCUCCCUCCCUCCCUCAGGGCCUCAGCCUCCCUCAGCCUCUCUCCCUCCCGCCGUCAGCCCUCUGAGGGCCUUCCUCAGCGUCCCCUCAACUCUCGUCAUCAGGGCCUCAGCCCUCUCAGCCUCCCUCCCUCCUUCUCAGGGUCCCCUUCACCCCCUCUCUCAGCGUCCCCCCAACUCUUGUCAUGGGGGCGUGAGCCCUCUCAGCCUCCCUCCUUCCCUCCCUCCGGGCCUCGGCCUCUCUCCCUCCCUCCCUCCGGGCCUCGGCCUCCCUCCCACCCUCGGCCCUCUCAGCGUCCCCCCAACUCUUAUCAUCGGGGCCUCAACCCUCCCGCCAUCAGGGCCUCAGCCUCCCUCUCGAGGCGGCCCGGCCCUCAGCGUCCCCCCAACUGUUGGGAUGGCGGCCUCGGCCCUCUCAGCCUCCCUCCCUCCCUGCCUCCGAGGGGCCCACUGGCACCUCUGGGCGUCGCCCUGGCCGCCCAGGACCGUCCUGAGGGCUGGGGUGGGGUGGGGUGAGGUGGGGUGGCCCUCCACGAGCCCGGGGGGAGAUGCUCCGGCCUUCCCAUGUCAGGUCCCCCGGUGGGGGGGGCCGGGGUCGGGGGUCCGGGGUGGGGCCUCCGGGGCCGGGCCGGGCCGGGCCGGGCCGGGGGAGGGGAGGUGA
rnacentral:lncRNA from 1 species